rnacentral:lncRNA from 1 species
UUAAAUAGCACAAUAGAAGUCUCGUAUAAAUAUGAGUAGACUUCUAAUUGAAUAAUACAAUACCAGUGAUUCAAAAAAAAAAACAAAGAAUAAAAUUUCCAAACUCAAAGACCCCGUUUGUGAAGAUUACAAAAACUCAUUAAAAAAAAAAAACAAAAACCAAGAAUAUGCAGCAAACAACGACAUUAAAAAGGGUUUAAAAUAAAAAAAACUGUACAAAACAUAUUUUAUCAACACAAUACUUAGCAUAUGGUUGUGUAUGAUUUUCUCAGGCAAAACAGCAGCUACACCACCAACAAUUCAAAGGGUUCGAUAAAAAGCCAGCAUGCCGUAUCAAAACUUCGUCCCUUGCACUUUGGAGUGAUCCGUGGCAACAAUAACAUAAUGAAAACACUGCAUCCUUCAAAAUAAUUAGAACCUAAAUCAAAAUGGAUCUGUCAACACCAUCUGUGUUGAUCUUCCAUGGAACAAAACUGGCAUGCAUCUGCAAUCUACUAAACCAGCAAGCAUUCAUUUCAAAUAGCAAAGAAACUCCCAUCUUUAAGUAGACUUGCUACUAAUUAAAGGUAUGAUCAAAUAUCAUUUCCUGAGAAAAUAAAGAUUAAAAAACUUUCAUUAGUUCAUAAGAACAUGCUGUGCACAACACACCAACAGAAACCUACAUAUUCAAUUGAAUCCUCAAAAAUACACAUCUAAUUAGCUCAAAAGUUAUUACAUUUGAAAGUACAUGUAUCUCAGUAAUUCAAUAAUUCUCUUCCUUCUAAAAAUUCUAACUUCUCAGAUGAAAGAUUACUGUAAAAUGAUGCAGAAUGUGCAUGAUUUUAUGGAGAAAAGAGAAACGGAAGGAACAGGCUCUUAAUUAUAAGGCAAUUAAACAAGAGAAUUGAAAAAAAAAACACCUAGUUAUUGCACAUACAAGUAAUUGCAAGAAGCAAACCUGAUCAAAUAUGGGGCAGGAUUCACUUCUUUCAUUCCACUCCAAAAUGCAAGAUAGGUGGAAAUGAUGUUCACAUUUUGUGAUAAGUUUCGGAUUCUCUGUAUCAUACUCUGCAAGCGGAAGAACCCAUAAUUUUAAGCAUUAAUUAUGAGCUGCUCGACUUCACUGUCUAUUCCUUGACUUCACUGCCCAUUCACCUGCAAAUUGGCAUAGAGUAGAUAAUAGAAUUAAAGAACAUAAAAAACUAAAUAAACCACACCUUCAAGACAAAUGGGACAAGUGUCCUCCUCUUCUGAUGCUGCUAACACAUUUAAUUGUGAAACUUCAGACUUCCUUGGUGAAGCAAUCAAAGAACUAGCUUGAGUUUUGCAGUCUGCAUCCUCAAAAUCUUCACACGUAGCUAAUGUUUUAUUUAAAAUUUUGACAAAAAUCUUGAGUUAUUAACUUAAAUUAAUUAAGGUGUAUAAGAAUUGGGAAUAAAUUGGCAUGUUACUUGAUAGCUACUAUGUUGGACUUGGUUCGGCCUGCCAGUGGCGUGCUUCGAUAUUAAACCAAAGGGUGGAACUUUUAACACGCAGCGUGUGAAAAUGGAGUUUUUUUUUACGCGCUACUAAAAUCCUUAUAACAUCCAUUUUGAUUUUUUUUUUUCCUGAAAUAUCUCAUUUUAUAAAAUAAAAAUUAAAAUAUUAAAAAAAAUCAUCUUCUCAUCAAUAACACAACCAAAAAUAGAUAUUAUCUAUUUCUUUAAGUUUUUAUUUAUAAAAUAUAUACAGAUUCUAAAAUCUUAAAAAAAUUUAUUCUCAUUAUAUCAUUGCUAUCUCCAUAACUCUAAGCUCUUAUAAUUUUGUCAAAAAAAAAAUUUUCAAUUAAAAUUUAAAAUACAGAAAUAUAGUGAAAUGGGGUGAUGUAAAAAAUUUGUUAAGAGAAUAAAUUAUUUAAGCAUUGAUUGAAUUUUCAUUUAAAAUAAGAAAUGAAUUAAGCUAUCUUUGAUCAUUUUUAUAAUUUCAAUAAAAAAUGGUUUUCUGAGUAAUUUUGAAGGGUGUCAAAAGUCCUAGUCGAAGCCAAAUUUUUGACACCAACGACAGUGGACUUGCGUUCAGUAAUUGAGUGAUUGUCGAACAGCAUUAACGAACUCGGUACCAAUUUCACUGAAUUUCAAUCUAAACAGUAAUGUAAGUGAUUUGAUUACUUAGAGUAUACCCUGUACGUAAGAAAAGAAUCUACUGGGCAAUAGAUUGAAUAAAAAAAAAAAAUCAAUUUUUAUUUUCUACUAAUCCGUGAAUAAUAUUCAACUAUACCUAAAAGAAUUUAAGGGAAAUGAAUGUGAUAACACAUUAAAAAAAAAAAAAAAAGAAUUAGCAUUGUGGUUUCUAAUUAUAGAGAUUUAUUAUUGACGCUCCACAGCAAUUAUACCUAUCAAUUCUAAGAUUAUCAAUUAUGAGCACACAAUUUACAUCAAUUAAAUUAUAAAAUUAGGUUUCUGUAAUUGGCUAUGAGAGUUUAUUUUCUUUGGUUUUCUAUAUUAGUUUGGGCUCAUAAUUUCUAUGGCUUGUGUACCCGAAAUUUAUUAAAUAUUGUCAUAAACACAUAGACAACAAAUAGUCUCUUCGAGCCUCUUCGAAAGAGACUUUGCGUAUCAUAAUACAACUCUAAGCUAUGUUAUAAUACAACUUGAUCUAGGUAGUUCAGUAAAUGUCUUAUGUAAAUAUGAGUAGACUUUUAUUUGGAUAAUAUAAUAUUAGUGAUUCAAAAAAAAAAAAAAAUUUCCAAACUCAAAAGACCCCGUUUGUGAAGAUUACAAAAACUCAUUAAAAAAAAAAAAAAAACAAAAGCCACGAUUAUGCAGCAAACAACGUCAUUAAAAAGGGUUCAAAAUACAAAAACUGUACAAGACAUAUUUUAUCAACACAAUACAAGGCAAAACUAUGUUUUCAAAUUUUCAUACUUAGCAUAUGGUUGUGUAUGAUUUUCUCAGGCAAAACAGCAGCUACACCACCAACAAUUCAAAGGGUUCGAUAAAAAGCCAGCAUGCUGUAUCAAAACUUCGUCCCUUGCACUUUGGAGUGAUCCAUGGCAACAAUAACAUAUCGAAACACUGCAUCCUUCAAAAUAAUUAGAACCUAAAUCAAAAUGGAUCUGUCAACACCAUCUGUUUAUCUUCCGUGGAACAAAACUGACAUGCAUCUGCAAUCUACUAAACCAGCAAGCAUUCAUUUCAGAUAGCAAAGAAACUCCCAUCUUUAAGUAG